rnacentral:rRNA from 1 species
UACGUAGGGGGCAAGCGUUGUCCGGAUUCAUUGGGCGUAAAGAGCGUGUAGGCGGCCAGGUAGGUCGGUUGUGAAAACUGGAGGCUCAACCUUCAGAGGUCGACCGAAACCAUCUGGCUAGAGUCCGGGAGAGGAGAGUGGAAUUCCUGGUGUAGCGGUGAAAUGCGUAGAGAUCGGGAGGAACAUCCGUGGCGAAGGCGACUACCUGGACCAGCACUGACACUGAGGCACGAAAGCGUGGGGAGCAAACAGG